rnacentral:lncRNA from 1 species
AUUUUCUCUAUUUUCUUUGCUAUAGCACUGUGUCAAUUGCUAUACAAAGUGAAACAGCUGCCACAUUCUCAUUUUUGAAGCAGCAUCCCAGCCGUGAUGUCUCUUGCAAGCGGACAGCAUAGCUUCCUAUUUGGCAGGUGCACCUCAGAAAGACCCUGUGGAGAAAGUGUGACCUGUUCCAGCGGUUUCAUGGCUCUAGGAGUAAGACAAGCUGGCUCCUCCUCGCUCUACACAGCGACACCUUUCCAUCCUGACUUCCACAGAAAGAGCCCAGGAGACACAGUUAAAUC